AACGAACGCUGGCGGCAGGCCUAACACAUGCAAGUCGAGCGAGGACUUCGGUCCUAGCGGCGGACGGGUGAGUAACGCGUGGGAACGUGCCCCUUGGUACGGAAUAGCCCCGGGAAACUGGGAGUAAUACCGUAUGAGCUCUACGGAGGAAAGAUUUAUCGCCAAGGGAUCGGCCCGCGUUGGAUUAGGUAGUUGGUGGGGUAAUGGCCUACCAAGCCGACGAUCCAUAGCUGGUUUGAGAGGAUGAUCAGCCACACUGGGACUGAGACACGGCCCAGACUCCUACGGGAGGCAGCAGUGGGGAAUCUUAGACAAUAGGCGCAAGCCUGAUCUAGCCAUGCCGCGUGAGCGAUGAAGGCCUUAUGGUUGUAAAGCUCUUUCAGCUGGGAAGAUAAUGACUGUACCAGCAGAAGAAGCCCCGGCUAACUCCGUGCCAGCCGCCGCGGUAAGAC
rnacentral:rRNA from 1 species